AGAGAGAGAGAGAGAGAGAGAGAGAGAGAGAGAGCCUAACUAUAUAAAUGUAAUUUAAAAUAACAUUUUAGUGUGAUAUAGGGCUUGGGCACUGUCUGUCUUUGAAAGAUGGAGGACAAAUUCAUGGAAACAGUUCUGUCUUUCCACCUUUACAAGGGCUCCAGUGAUGGAUCACGUGUUGUCUCCAUUGCUUAGCAAACAACACUACCCAUUGCUCUAGCUCACCAGCCUCAGGAACAUCAUUAAUAUACAAGUGUUCUGAGCAAACUUGCACUCCAAGAAGUACUCACUUUUCUUUCAAAGAUGGCUAGCCUCCAAGGGCCAAUAUCCCAUCAACCUCACGUGUCUCAUGAAGCUCUUACAUAUGCACCUGCUUGCUCAAACCAUGCACAUUGCCGAACAUUGGCUCUGCUGCACCUUUUCCCUUCAAGGAAACAGUUUCAAGGCUCCUCUGGGCUCCGAUCUGCUCCCUUGGACAACUCACUUCCCCAUACAUGUUUCCGUGGCCUCCAGGGUCAAUCUGGUCAACGUGGGCGAAGGACCCAGCCAAACGCCAUGGCGACCAGACAGCUGUGUGCACAGACCAAGGAGAACCAUCAGACCUUAUUUUCAGACCUAUGGCCAUGCGGUGGGAGGUAAAACACUAAGUGUAUCUCCUCGUCUUCCUCACUGGGCAUGAGAGACUCCCUUCUUUCCUUCUCCACCCGGUUCCCUCAGAGAACCUAGGAGACACGGAAUCCAGUGUGUGGGAAGAGAGCUUGAUGCCAUACUGUUUUUGCAAGGUUCCCCAGGCAACUGCCUUACUUUGCAGAUCACCAUCCACAGCUACCAAGGUUUUUAAACCGGGGCUGCCUAUUUGUAAGAAAUGAGUCUCGUGACUAAAGGUCCAGCCAACAUGCAAAGUGUCUGUCUGCUCUCAGUCCAAGCCGUGCACUCAUGGGACAAAGGGGGGGCCAUGGUUACAGAGGCCACACAGGGCUGCUGGUCUCACCUGCCCUACUCCUUCUGCUGCCUUUUUGGGUUCCUUUGCCUGGAAGCUGAGUGAAAUCAAAGACCCAGAUGACAUUGAAUUCACAGUUCCAUUUGUGUGGAGACAUAUGGACUCUCCUGUCUUUGAGACCUUGGGAUUCCUUCCUCUGUUACCCCGCUCUUUGGGGACUGCACACCACAGGGUACUUUCUUCUGUUAUGUCUAUGCUAAUCUAACUCAGACACUUGCUUGAGAAAUAAAGGGGUAGCUGUUUUUUUUUAAUUUUUUUAAAAGAUUUAUUCAUUUAUUAUACAUAAGUACACUGUAGCUGUCUUCAGAUACACCAGAAGAGGGCAUUGGAUCUCUUUACAGAUGGUUGUGAGCCACCAUGUGGUUGCUGGGAAUUGAACUCAUGACCUCUGGAAGAGCAGUCGGGUGCUCUUAACCGCUGAGCCAUCUCUCCAGCCCUGUUUUUUGUUUUUUUUUUUUUUUAUUUGCACCCCAUGCGCUCAUGCCCUGGUGAGAUAUGGGCUCAUUUUAUGGAGCUGAGCACAUCCCACAAUCAAAAAGAAACCAAGUGUCUUUGUUGCCAUCGUGGCUGUUGCCUUCAUUAAGGUAGAGGUGACCAUGUGACCUUGCCAUUAGCCUGGCUAGCAACAUUAUCAAAACGGUGACAACUGCGAUGUUUUCCAGUAUCACAGAGCCCUCAGAGGAUCACUGCACCCCUGGGACUUCCUGUGCCACCGGCAAUCAGACACACAUCCCGAUCCUUCACCGUGUUUCCCGUUUUAUUUCAUCUCCCUGUGGAGAUGGGAUUCCUAAUGGGAUCAUGGGACUGGGGGACCCGGAAGAGACUCCGACAUGGGCUCUAUCACCACAUGACGAGAGUCAAAGCAUUUCCUGUAUAGUUGAAGGGAGCAGUAACACAAUCGUUUUGGGUUGGUGCAUUGUUUUGCAUGAUGUAUUUACUGCUUUCUAGAGAAGACUUAAGAGUUUUCCCAGCCAUCUGCCUCCAACAUGAGGCAGCUACCAACAGGAACUGACACUUUCAAAUGACUAAACCUGGGAAGACAUUUUUAGCAGCGGACAAACCAAGUGCACAGGACCCAAAGGAUACCCAGACACCAGACAAGUUGCUGCUAGUGUGCACCCCAGUGCGAAGAUGGAUCAGCCUGCUUGGGCAGCAGGCUUAAGGUAUUGACUUUGCACAUGCUGGCGAGGAUGUGGAGAAAGGAGGACACUCCUCCAUUGCUGGUGGGAUGGCAAACUUGUACAACCACUCUAUAAAUCAAUCUGGUGGUUUCUCAGAAAAUUGGAAAUGUUUCUGCCUUAAGACCGAGAUAUACCACUCCUGGGCAUACACCCAAAAGAAACUCCACCAUCCCCCCAGGGCACGUUCUCUACUAUGUUCAUAGCAGUUUUAUUUGUAAUAGCCGGAAACUGAAAACAACCCAGAUGUCCCCCAAAAGAAGAACGGAUACAGAAAAUGUGGUUCAUUGGCACUAUGAAACACUUUACUAUUCAACUCUUAAAAACGAGGACAUCAUGAAUUUCGCCAGCGAAUAGAUGGUACUAGAAAAUAUCAUAUUGAGUGAGGUAAUCCAGACCCAAAAGGACGUGCAUGUCUAUGUGCCUCAGGGUUCCAUUGCUGUGAAGAGACACCGUGACCAAGGCAACUCGUAUAAGGACAGCAUUGAAUCGGGGCUGGCUUACAGGUUCCGAGGUUCAGUCCAUCAUCAUCAAGGUGGGAGUAUGGCAGCCUCCAUGCGGACAUGGCACUGGAGGAGCUGAGAGUUCCACAUCUUGUUCCAGAGGCAAACAGGAGAAGGCAGACUCUUCCACACGGGGCAGAGCUUCAAAGCCCACCCCACAGCGACACAGUUCCUUCAACAAGGUCACACCUCCUAAGAGCGGCACUCCCUGUGGGGUUCUUUGAGACCACAAAACUGGGAUAUAAAAGUCCAAGCGAAGGGUGUUGCUUCCUACUUGCAUCAGAGGAAGCUUGGUGACUAAAGUGUGUUGGAGGCCAUCUUAAUGUGUUACAAGAAUCUACCAUGUAGUUUGGAUUCUGCUUUCUUUUAGAAGGAGGUGUUGCACAGGGCUGUCUUCUGAGCUCUUUCCAGAUCCAUGACUGCUGUGUGCCUGUUUGGAAGAGACCAGCAGCCGGGCUCGUUGGGAGCUGGUUCUGUGAGAGGACGAACAAGAUGGACAGACCCUUGGCUCAACCAACCAGAAGGAAGAAAGAGAGAGCCAAAUGAAUAGAAUCACAAUUGAAUAAGGAAACAUCGCAAUAGACAUCAAAGAAAUUCAGAACGUUAUAAGGGAGUACUUUAAAAAUCUGUACCCCAUCAAGUUGGAAAAGUCUAAAAGAAAUGGGUGGAUUUCUAAAUUCAUCUGCAGCACCAUAUUUAAACCAAGAAGAGAUCAAUUAACCAGACUUGUAACAACAGGGUAGGAUUCUCUGUAAUGGCAAUUUUAAAAAGUUCUUCUCUACCCAUGGCUAGCUCCUAAAUGAAUGAGAUGGAGAUAAUUAGAUUUAUUUAACCAAGCCUUACUGCAUAAUACCUGGGUAGUUAUUGAUCUAUUUUAAUCCUCGGAGAUAAUCUGGCUAUCUGGCAGCCAACCCCACCCCCCAGUAUUUACAUGGUAGUAUUUGUCUGGCUUUCUGUGUUUCAGAUGUGCUUUCCAGGUCUCUCUCCUCACCCUCCUCAUGGCUGGAUAUCCCUUACUUUUCUCAGUCUCCUUCUACCCAGCCAUUGGCUAAUCAGCUUUUAUUGACAAGGCAUAGAAUAAGUGGUAAACAUAGUUUACAUUAACUUGAAACAGGAAAUAUUUGGAAUGAGCAUUACAAUGCCGUGUCCAGAUUGCAACAGGUUAUGAGGACAGAGAGGUCAGCAUUUGACUGUCUUUACAUAGGGCACAAACACAUCAUGCCUGCAUUGGCCCCUUUGUGUCCAAUAAAAGACUCUUUCUCAGAUAAUAAUGAUCUACACACAAUAAUAACGAUUAUGAAGACUAUCAGGUAAGAUUGAUAUAAUAAUAUAUUGUACACAUGUAUUUGGUAAUUUUGGAUGAAGUAUUCUACUAUCUAUACUAUUGGUGAGUUCAGAGUUCUGUACCUAAAUAAUUUUCUAAUCAUAAGUUGCAUUACUAAACGAAAAACAUCUAUUUAAAUCUUUAAAAACUUAAAUUUCUAUAUGAGACUAUAACUAUAGAGUCUUCAAUCCUGUCAUAGAUUUAAGAAGGAAUAAAAUUAUCUGAGUAUGCAGGAAGUGCAGAGCAAGCAGCUUCCAAAACUAUAGAAAUGAGAGCUAUAGCUGACCAUCUGAACAUCUUCCACAAAUGUCGCUAUAACGUUGGACCAUCUGUCUUCAUCCUUCUGGCCCAGAAUAUCUGACAGACCUGUUUGUGUAGCAAGAAUUAUGAAGGACUGCUUACCGUGUCUUGUCAAAGCUCAGCAGUUGACUUCCCUGCAUUCUGUCUGCAGCUGAAUCAAGGGGCAGUUUUCUGCCCAGUGGCUGCUGGCCACAUUUGAAGUGAACUCUGGAAGUUCUUCAACGUUCAUCUCCUUUGAAGUGGACUGGGAGUACUGCCAGGAUCGACCUGUCUCAUAACAAAAAAGAGGUUUUAAUAAUAAAACAACUUUAAAUACCAUA
ensembl:lncRNA